AGAAAAAUCUCAAAAUGUGAUUGGGAGAUUGAAGAAAAGAAAAAGGCCCGUCCUUCCUCCCAAGCUGGAGAGGCUGAAGGGUGCCUGGGUAGACGGCUUGUUUCCAGUGUUUUGCCAUGGAGUUCUGUUCUCACCAUUUCCAUAACUGACUGGAGCAAAGCUACAGAAGACACGGCCCCUGCAUCAUGGCUGACACUCUUGCUGAUCAGAGGCUGGGAGAGACUGACAGUUUGGAGGGACGGGCCCAAUCUAACGGAUGAAAUUUUAAGAGGAAUAAUGCAAGUUCCAAAUGACACAUAAUGUCUGCCAAGUGCACACAUAUUGGGUGAGGGAC